rnacentral:rRNA from 1 species
AAGCUGUUCUUUGCAUUUCAGGUCUAUGUUUCAAACAUAUACUCCAUAUACAAGUGAUAGAAUGUUAAUUAUUGGCCUUCUUGUGCCUUUAAACCUAAUACAACUUUCAACAACGGAUCUCUUGGCUCUCGCAUCGAUGAAGAACGCAGCGAAAUGCGAUAAGUAAUGUGAAUUGCAGAAUUCAGUGAAUCAUCGAAUCUUUGAACGCACCUUGCGCUCCUUGGUAUUCCGAGGAGCAUGCCUGUUUGAGUGUCGUGAAAUUCUCAACCUUUCUGGCUUUUAUGAGCUGGGUCAGGCUUGGAUUUUGGAAGCUGCUGGCUUCUUUUGAGAUCAGCUCUUCUUAAAUGUAUUAGCAAAAUUCUUGCUGGACCAUCUUUGGUAUGAUAAUUAUCUAUACCAUUGAGACAUCACAGCUUCCACUUCAGCGGAUUUCAGGCUCUGCUUGGAUUUAUUUCCAAGUGUUCGAUUCAACCGCUCUGAAGCACCAGCCUAGGCACAGACAUUAACUUGUUUGAUGGUGUUGAAUACUUCAGGUUGACGAAGCGAGGUGUUUCCUUAGGGAAGCGCUCACGAGAGCAAGCAGGGUCAGAGCAUCGUCAAGAUGUACUGAUAU